rnacentral:rRNA from 1 species
UACGUAGGUGGCAAGCGUUGUUCGGAUUUACUGGGCGUAAAGAGCGCGUAGGCGGCCGUUCAAGUCGCGUGUGAAAGCCCCCGGCUCAACUGGGGAGGGUCACGCGAUACUGAUCGACUCGAAGGCAGGAGAGGGUAGUAGAAUUCCCGGUGUAGUGGUGAAAUGCGUAGAUAUCGGGAGGAACACCAGUGGCGAAGGCGACUGCCUGGCCUGUUCUUGACGCUGAGGCGCGAAAGCUAGGGGAGCAAACGGG